rnacentral:rRNA from 1 species
AACGAACGCUGGCGGCAUGCCUAACACAUGCAAGUCGAACGAGAACUUCGGGUCUAGUGGCGCACGGGUGCGUAACGCGUGGGAACCUGCCCUUAGGUUCGGAAUAACUCCCCGAAAGGGGUGCUAAUACCGGAUAAUGUCUUCGGACCAAAGAUUUAUCGAAUUUGGAGGGGCAAGCGUUGGAUUAGCUAGUUGGUAGGGUAAAAGCUUACCAAGGCGACGAUCCAUAGCUGGUCUGAGAGGAUGAUCAGCCACACUGGGACUGAGACACGGCCCAGACUCCUACGGAAGGCAGCAGUGGGGAAUGUUGGACAAUGGGCGAAAGGCUGAUCCAGCAAUGCCGCGUGAGUGAUGAAAGCCUUAGGGUUGUAAAGCUCUUUUACCCGGGAUGAUAAUGACAGUACCGGGAGAAUAAGCUCCGGCUAACUCCGUG